rnacentral:lncRNA from 1 species
GCUUGAUAAACAUUGUCAUCUUUGAUAACAACGUAUCAUUUGAUCGUGAACAGAUUUAAGGACUAAACGAUAAAUCCUCCUUUGUCGAGUCUAAAUAGUCCUAAGGACUUUAUCACAACAUAAGAGUUUAUUAGAAGAUGAAAUAUUUUGUGAUGAAAAAUACCAAAAUAAUUUUUAUGAAUUCAUAAUUCAUAUACAAAUACAAAAAUGAGCACAACCAUUAACAAGUUGAUGAUUGACUUCAGGAUACUAUUUCCAACACUC